UGUGUGUGUGAGAGUGUGUGUGUGAGAGAGAGAGAGAGAGAGAGAGAGAGUGUACUGUGUGAGAGUGUGUAUGAGAGUGUGUGUGAGUGUGUGAGAGUGUGUACAGUGUGAGAGUGUGUGUGGGAGUGUGUGUGUGUGAGAGAGAGAGAGAGAGUGUGUGUGAGAGUGUGUAUGAGAGUGUGUGUGAGAGAGAGAGUGUGUACAGUGUGAGAGUGUGUAUGAGAGUGUGUGUGUGUGUGUAUGAGAGUGUGUGUGUGAGACAGAGUGUGUACAGUGUGAGAGUGUGUAUGAGAGUGUGUGUGUGUGUGUAUGAGAGUGUGUGUGUGAGACAGAGUGUGUACAGUGUGAGAGUGUGUGUGGGAGUGUGUGUGUGUGUGUGUGUGUGUGAGAGAGAGAGAGUGUGUGUAUGAGAGUGUGUAUAGUAUGAGAGUGUGUGUGAGAGUGUGUAUGAGAGUGUGUGUGAGAGUGUGUAUGAGAGUGUGUAUAGUAUGAGAGUGUGUGUGAGAGUGUGUAUGAGAGUUGGUACAGUAUGAGCGUGUGUGUGAGAGUGAGAGUAUGUGUGUGUGUGUAUAUGUGAGAGAGAGUGUGUAUGAGAGUAUGUGUGUGUGUAUGUUGUGUGUAUGAGAGAGUCUGUGUGUGUGUAUGUUGUGUGUGAGAGUGAGAGUAUGUGUGUGUGUAUGUUGUGUGUGAGAGUGAGAGUAUGUGUGUGUGUAUGUUGUGUGUGAGAGUGAGAGUG
ensembl:lncRNA